CAGCCGCCGCGGUAAUACGAAGGGGGCUAGCGUUGCUCGGAAUGACUGGGCGUAAAGGGCGCGUAGGCGGCGAUCAAAGUCAGGCGUGAAAUUCCUGGGCUCAACCUGGGGGCUGCGCUUGAUACUUGGUUGCUUGAGUGGGGAAGAGGGUCGUGGAAUUCCCAGUGUAGAGGUGAAAUUCGUAGAUAUUGGAAAGAACACCGGUGGCGAAGGCGGCAACCUGGUCUUUAACUGACGCUGAGGCGCGAAAGCGUGGGGAGCAAACAGGAUUAGAUACCCCCGUAGUCCCUGUCUCUUAUAC
rnacentral:rRNA from 1 species